rnacentral:rRNA from 1 species
UGCCGGCGACCGGCGCACGGGUGAGUAACACGUAUCCAACCUGCCGAUGACUCGGGGAUAGCCUUUCGAAAGAAAGAUUAAUACCCGAUGGCAUAGUUCUUCCGCAUGGUAGAACUAUUAAAGAAUUUCGGUCAUCGAUGGGGAUGCGUUCCAUUAGCUUGUUGGCGGGGUAACGGCCCACCAAGGCAUCGAUGGAUAGGGGUUCUGAGAGGAAGGUCCCCCACAUUGGAACUGAGACACGGUCCAAACUCCUACGGGAGGCAGCAG